rnacentral:rRNA from 1 species
UACGGAGGGUGCAAGCGUUAUCCGGAUUCACUGGGCUUAAAGGGUGCGUAGGCGGCUUAGUAAGUCAGUGGUGAAAUCUCCGGGCUUAACCCGGAAACUGCCAUUGAUACUAUUAGUCUUGAAUACCGUGGAGGUCAGCGGAAUAUGUCAUGUAGCGGUGAAAUGCUUAGAUAUGACAUAGAACACCAAUUGCGAAGGCAGCUGGCUACACGAAUAUUGACACUCAGGCACGAAAGCGUGGGGAUCAAACAGG